rnacentral:tRNA from 1 species
GGUAAUGCGGCUCAGUGGUAGAGUGCUUGCCUCACAUGCAUGAAGCCCUGGGUUCGAUUCCUCAGUACCA